CUUUACGAGAAUUUGGGGUUAAAUAAGAAAAGUUUAGGGUUUCCAUUUCAUUUUCCGGAACCCAUUUCUUCUCUCUUUUCCUUCUCUCUCGCGCCUCACCCUCAUUGUCCGAAAAUCCCUUUCGACCCGACCCAAACCCGGCCGACCCGACCCGACUUUUUCGGCCACCUCGGACCGACCUAGACGCCGGCACCGGUUGGGUUUUCUUCCUCUCCUCCGUCCGAGCUGCCUUGUGGUGGUGGCUUGCGCCGAUUCUCAGCGGUGUGUGCGAUUCGAAGCUUGGAUGUUCGGGUUAGAGACCCGAACGAAAUUCUCACCUCCGGCGGUGGCGACGCAGCUUGGAACCGGUCGGGAUAGAUGCUCCUUGGCGUCCUGGUUUUUUUUCUGGUAGUCUUCUAGUGCGACUCACGGCGGAGAGUGACGGUGGUGGAUUCCAAACUUUCAAGCGAGUUUCCAGUGUUUUCCUACCGAUUCCAGCCGAAUUGGUUCAACCGUCAGGUAUAAAAGUUGUUUCCCUUUCUUCAAUCUACAAGUUUGCUGUUGGAAGUUUGUUGAGAUUUUGAAGUUGCUGGGGUGGCGCGUGGGGCCCACUCGUCGCCGUCUAUGGUGGAACGUGGCGGCGCGUCCGACAGGGGUUGGGAGGUUAGGAGUAACUGUUAGCUUAUGUUCGUCGAUACAAGCACGUUGACAUAUCAUGAGGUUAUGUUAUGAUCAAGUUUUGCAUCCUAGGUUUAAGAGAAUCGUGAGAGAUUGUUAAGCUUUGGUGUUUGAGCUUUGAAAUUCUUGUUAGCUAUUUCAAUAGGUUGGUUAAGGGUUCCUAUGACCUUGGGAGGUCUCGGAAGAAGGUUGUCCCUUUUUGGGCAAAUCUUAGGUUAAGGCUUGUUAAGGGUGCAAUGUUCUUUUUGUUUAAGUGGUUAUUAAAGUUAUUAAUUGUGUUAAAUAGGUAGCGUGUGGAGUUGAUAUUUAAGCUUGGCUCUUGUGUUGUGUUGAAGACACAGCGGGAAUUUAGGUGAGUAAAAUCUCACCAAGGUUCACUUUGUGACAUAUUUAUUUAUGGUUAUUAUGAUGAUGAUAAUUAUUAUGAUGAUGAUUAUGAUGAUGAAAAUGUUGAUGAUGAAGAUUUAAAAACUAUGUUUUUCUUUUUGCUUGUUUUAAAAUAUAUGAGUUUAAUCGCCAACGACUCAUAGGUAAGAAAAAACAAGUUUUUAUAUUUAAAUGAUUAUUUUUAAGGUUCUUGUGAUCAUAAUAUUUUAGUUCUUGGUAGAUUAUUCUUGUGGGAAUAUCUAUGAUUGUUCAUAUAAAUAUAUCUAUGUGGAAGAAUAUAAUUUUUAUGAUGUGCUCUUUGUGUUGUUGAUGAUGAUAUUAUUAUAUUGUGAGUAAAUCUCACAUGGGUUCAUAAAGAAAUCGAGUUUAUUUUAUAGUUUAUUAUUGCUAAUUGUGAAGUUGUCCUUGAAAUGAAAUGAUUUUGUUUUUAAAUAUAAAUGAGCUUGAUCGUCAACGGCUCAUGGGUAAGUAAAAAUAUUUUUCUGAUAAAAAUAAAAUAUUUCAAAAGAACUUCUGAUCAUGGGUUAUUAGUUGUCGAUGUGUGUGUCUUAGUGGUAAUUGUGUGCAUUAGUUGUGGAACAGUGCCUUAGUGGUGAACUGGUGAUUGUGUGCAUUAGUUGUGGAUGUGUGUGUCUUAAUGAUGAUUGUGUGCAUUCGUUGUGGAAUGUGCCUUAGUAGUGAUUGUGUGUCUUAGUUGUGAAUGUGUGCCUUAGUGGUGAUUGUAUGCAUUAGUUGUGGAUGUGUGUCUUAGUGGUGAUUGUGUGCAUUAGAUUAGGAGUCUUCGUGGUGGACCGGGAACCAAGCCUUGGCCGGGUGAUUGAUUACGGUCAGUAUAGAGCUCUAGUUUGUCUGUCGGUACUUCAUGGGGGAUGACUAAGUGUCAACGAACCCAUGCGUACGCGUUUGUUUGGUUACUUAUGAGGGAUGACUAAGUGUUGACGAACUCAUAAGUAAGAGUAGAGAAAUGAUUAUGUGAUGUUCUUAUGUGUUGUCAUUUAAAUUCCUUGCUUUGAGUAUCUCCUGAACUAUGCUUAUCCGCAGGAGAUUCUAAAUCUUUACUUGUGAUUUUUAGUGAAUUCCUGAACUACAUUUUUUUGCAGGAUUCAUUUAUGAUUUUAAUUAUUUGUGGAUGGUUGUGUUUUCUUAUUUACUCUAUUUUAAAUUCUCUCAUUUUUAGGCAAUUCCUGAACUAAGUUUAUAAGCAAGAAUUACUGAUGUUUAUCUUGUGAUGUUAGGUUGAGUUCUUUAAUGUAGAUUUACUCAUAUGAGCUUUUAAAGCUUACCGAGUUUGUUGUUUACAACCCGGUACACCAAUCCAGGGUGUAGAGGUUGAUUUUGCAGGUCAGGUUUAGCAGAGUUAAGGCUGCGGCAAUUAGGUAAUUUUUCUUUUUGUUUACUUUCUAGUUGUUGUGAGUAUUGAGAGAGUUUUACUUUGUUCAAAAUUAUUUUCCACAAGUUGUAAAACUAAAUUGUUGUAGUGAUUGUUUUUCUUUUUUGGUUAUUAUGCCUUGAAUUUGAAAUUUUUUAUUUAUCCAAAAUUUAGGGUGUGACAACCUAAACGCUUGAUUUGUUCCACUUUCUGAAAGCGGGAGGAAUCACUUAAAGUGCUUAGGCUCUACGUAUUUUUCGACCGCGCAAGGAAGAGUAGAAAUCCUGAGAUUGCACAAAGUCAUCCUCUUUCAAGUUUUGUAUGUCUCUUCUUUAACAUGGAAAACACUUCGAGCAAAUUCAUUUCCUUGUUUUGAUAUGGCAGUACUCUAUACAACCCGAGCAAACUCAUUUUCUUACUUUGUUAUGACUGGACUUAGAAGCAUCUUCCAAGCUGCCUACGUACUCUUACGAGAAAGAGAUCAAGUCACGACGUAGUUCAAGGAUUUUUUUAUAUUUUUUUAGGUGUCGUACGCAGUUUAUGCUCGUGGGGGCAAGGAGCAUUUUUUUUUUUGUGCCUUGUGCAGUUGAGGCUCAUGCAGGCUAGGAGUUGUUUUUUUUUUUCUUUUUUUUGGUUGUCAUUUGCAAUUUAAGCUCGUGCAGACAAGGAGCGAUAAUUUUUUUUUGUUUUUUGUUUUUUUUUGUGUGUCAUUCGCAGUUUAAACUAGUGCGGACAAGAAACAUUUUGACUCUUGAGUGGUCUACAUAAAUUUAGACGGGUUGCAUGCCCCUAACAAAGGUGUUGAGGACACCACUUCAAGGUGUUCAAAAAAGAUGGUUGCAUAAUUUGACUAAGCCACGUCAUCUUCAACAUCUAAACAUAUCUUUCCUUGUUGUGCUAGCUUCAUGAUGAGGUCUUUCAAGACGAAGCCCUUCUCCAGGAUGACCGAUGACACGGUGGUACUUGUAAUACUUAGGAUCAUUGACACGAUGCAUCUCUUCUGGACGCUUGCAGUCUGGCAAUUUGAUUAGUUCUUUUUCAAGCAAGUUUUCCAACAUCUCAACAACAUCGAAAUCUGGAAAAGGGUAACUUUUAGCUUCCAAGUCAUUUAGAGUUUGCCUCCUUGCUUGAUCUUGCAGGAGUUGUACUGAUUGCCAAAGACUCUUGAUUCUCUGGUUCUAUGAUGUCACAUUUUCUUUGGCCAUGACUAGCCAAACUGAGUUCCAUGUCAUGAGCUCGGGUAGCAAGUUCUUCAAAGGUGCGAGGCUUUAUCCCUUGAAAAAUGUACAACAAAUCCCAAUGCAUGCCUUGAAUACACAUCUAUACCGCUGACAAUUUUAAGAGUCGGUCUUUGCAGUCGAGACUUAGUGUACGCCAACGAUUGAUGAACUCUACAGCAGGCUCGCCAUUUUGUUGUUUGGUGUUGGUGAGCUCUAACAUACUCACCAUGCGACGUGUGUUGAAGAAGUGGUUCAAGAACUCCUUUUCCAUUUGCUCCCAGCUGUCAAUGAAUUCAGGCUCCAAGUCUGUAAACCAUUUAAACUCCGUGCCUUGGAGUGAGCGAACAAAUUGCUUCACAAGAUGAUCACCAUCGGUGCCAGUGUUGUUGCAUGUUUCGAUGAAAUGUGCGAUGUGUUGCUUUGGGUUACAUUUGCCAUCAAAUUGUUAAAACUUGGGAGGUUGGUAACCAGUUGACAUUCUCAAAUUGUCUAGCCGCUUGGUGUAAGACUUGGAAUACGUUAGUGUAUCUCGAGGCGAACCACCAUAUUGAGCUUUGAUUGUCUUGGCAAUCAUGUCUUGAAGCUGUUGAACUAACAAUGAAGCUAGGAUGGAAUUUGAUUCUCCUUUUUGCUCGGAAGAUGAUCCACUAGACUUGUCUUUCUUAUCGCCAUGAAGGUUAUUCUCCGAGUCAUUGUCGUGGUGAACUUCUAGCUUCUCCAUGAGUGAUGCAAUUUCUACAUCCUUCUCUUCAAUGGUCUUUUGGAGCUUCUUCACCGCUUCAGUCAACUGGGCUAUUUGGGCCGCUUGUUCUUCCAUGUUGAUCACUUCUAUCACCAUGACUUGCAUGGCGCAAGAGUCGUCUUCUAGAAUCGCUUCAAUUUGAUUGUCAAGAUGCAAUUCCAAGUGUGGACAUAUCUUCGAAUCAACUUUGGUUGUGGGCGAAGGAGAAUGUUUCCUCGAGUUGCCUGACGAUGUUAAAAGUCUUUGCUUCGUGAGGUUUGCCACCAUUGUUGUCCAAACGUCGAUCAGCUGAAACUGCUUUGAGGAAUGAAGGUUGAAUGUUGUGAGUUGAAAUGACUCACUAUGAGCAACAUGAUCGCUAAGGUUUCUACUGCUUUUCAGAGUAGCUAUAUAGCUACCUUGUUGGUCUUGUUUUUCGAUUUGAUUUGCACCAUCUUUGAAGCCAUGUGAUGAGGAUGGCGAGAUUGUCGGAGGAGGAGAUGAGAGGCAGAGAUGGUCUCACUGGGCGUGCCAAUUUUGUAAACACGAAAAUUUCUGUAACGAAUAACAGAAAGACAUGUGUACAAAAUAAUAUAUUUGUAUUGAUUGAAUUUGCGGGUUACAAUCUCUGUGGGUAUUCUUUUAACAAGAAUGUCCUCUGAUUCGAUCUCCAUCGUUGAUUUGAUCCAAGGGUGACGAGCACUUGAUCUUGAAUUGAACUGUUGUAGUUUGAACUUCUUAUCGUGUUGACGAUUUGUAGAAGGAAGUUGACCAAGGGCCGUAGAGGCUUGAUCUUGGUCGAAUUUGGGUCGAGAAAGGUGUCACGUGGUGAACGUUCUUCGGCUUGAUAGCGGAUGAAUCGGCACGUGUGUUUGGUGCUUGUUGAUUCUCCAACAGCUUGUUGAAGAACUUGGUAAAAGUUUUGAUUUGUUGAAAGGCUUGAAGACGAGGGUUGAUCAAAGGCCGUAGAGGCUUGACAUUGAUCGGGUUUGGGCCACGAGCAGUUCCACGUGGUGGUUGCUCUUCGUCUUGUAGUUGGUGAAGAUGUCGGCUAUUUGACAAUUUGGGACUCUUCGGGAUUUGACAACUUCUAGGUUUGAGGUUGAUGAAGAAUCGACUAUUUGACAGCUUGAUAAUUCUUCAAGGGUUCUGGGAGAAUUCUGAGCUCUCGAGAGUAAUUUUUCUCUCUUGUCCGGAAGUCCUCUUCUUGAUAUGAGAGAGGGGUAUUUAUAGUGUCGACGUUCCUCCGUUUAUGGAAUGUUUUGAAGACAGUGUUUUAAUUGUAUUUCCUUAACAGUAUAAUUAAAUCAAUCAGUUUUGAUUGAUUGAUCUAAUUAUAAUUAUUAACAUAAUUAAAUCAGUCUGUAUUUAUUGAUUGAUUCGAUUAUGACUGAUAAAGUAUUUUGCUAAUUUGAUUAAAUGUUCGACUUCCUUUCCGAUAAUCAAUUUAAUUUGAUUGAAAUUUGAUUAUCGAUUGACAUUUAAUAUUUACUUUUAGUCGGAAUUGAUGAUUUUUGUUGUCGACUGAUCAUUCACACGUGACCACAUGUCAUUUUCGAAGACUUUAUAAUUUUUCCAACUGACGAACCACAUAUGC
rnacentral:lncRNA from 1 species